AGGGAGGUGAUGAUCCUUUCCCCACAUGAUCGACUAUGAUUAUAUCGUGCUUUUUGUAAUUUUUUUCUUCUCUAAUUCGAGGAGAAAUCAAGCCAGGAUUCUGAUCCUA